UCAGGCCUAACACAUGCAAGUCGAACGGCAGCACAGUAAGAGCUUGCUCUUACGGGUGGCGAGUGGCGGACGGGUGAGGAAUACAUCGGAAUCUACUUUUUCGUGGGGGAUAACGUAGGGAAACUUACGCUAAUACCGCAUACGACCUACGGGUGAAAGCAGGGGAUCUUCGGACCUUGCGCGAUUGAAUGAGCCGAUGUCGGAUUAGCUAGUUGGCGGGGUAAAGGCCCACCAAGGCGACGAUCCGUAGCUGGUCUGAGAGGAUGAUCAGCCACACUGGAACUGAGACACGGUCCAGACUCCUACGGGAGGCAGCAGUGGGGAAUAUCGGACAAUGGGCGCAAGCCUGAUCCAGCCAUACCGCGUGGGUGAAGAAGGCCUUCGGGUUGUAAAGCCCUUUUGUUGGGAAAGAAAUCCAGCCGGCUAAUACCUGGUUGGGAUGACGGUACCCAAAGAAUAAGCACCGGCUAACUUCGUGCCAGCAGCCGCGGUAAUACGAAGGGUGCAAGCGUUACUCGGAAUUACUGGGCGUAAAGCGUGCGUAGGUGGUCGUUUAAGUCCGUUGUGAAAGCCCUGGGCUCAACCUGGGAACUGCAGUGGAUACUGGGCGACUAGAGUGUGGUAGAGGGUAGCGGAAUUCCUGGUGUAGC
rnacentral:rRNA from 1 species